ACAAAUUGAAUAAAAUCUUGUGAAAGGCCAAAUCAAAGAUGGAAAAUAGAAUCAAGAAUUGCUUUCCAGAGGUUCGCAGAUCAAAGCAUCGACGGCCCCCCCUUCAGCAGCCCCACCCUUUUCUGUAAAGCACAAAUUCCAAUUCCUCUGCCACCAGUCCACCACCCUUUUCCGCCCAUUGCUAUAUUCUUAGACGUGUUCCCCCCAAUCUCCAGUCAACUUUGUCUGCUUCCCGAGUUGCAUUUUAUGGCGUUUCACGACACCCUACUUCAUUGACGAGUCCACUUCACCAGAAAAUGAGAGAAAACCGGGAGCCCACUUCGUGCCUCGUCGUCGGCAAUUACUGCCACGACGUUUUGAUGAAGGAUGGCGUCGUAUUAGCCGAGUCCCUUGGUGGUGCCGCCUCCUUCAUCUCCGCUGUACUGGACGGUGUUUCUAUCCCCUCCACUCUCAUAGCUAAAGUGGGUUCUGAUUUCUCCUACUCAGUCACCCACCCGCCACUCGUUUCCCCUCAUUCCAAGACAACCCUCUUCCACGCCCAUUUCUCCUCUCAAAUCCAGCGCCACGAUCGCGUCCUCAAACGGGUGCACGCCUGCGAACCGAUCACCCCCUCUGAUCUUCCCCACUCCCGGCGGUUCCAGUUCGGCUUGGGGGUUGGCGUAGCCGGAGAAAUCUUGCCAGAAACGCUGGAGAAAAUGCUCGACAUCUGUGAUACAGUUUUCGUUGAUGUUCAGGCAUUGAUCCGGGUCUUCGAUCCUGCCGAUGGAACAGUGAGUCUUGUUCACUUGAGAGAUUCCGGCUUCCAUCAUUUGCUCAAAAGAAUUGGGUUUCUGAAAGCGUCGUCAGAAGAGGCGACGUAUAUUGACGUGGAGGAGGCAAAGGAGGAGUGUUGUGUGGUGGUGACGAAUGGGAAGGAUGGGUGUACUGUAUAUCAUAGGAAUGUGGAACAACAAAUUGCUCCUUUCCCAGCUGUUCAGGUGGAUCCUACAGGCGCUGGCGACAGUUUUCUUGGCGGGCUUGUUGUAGGGGUUGCGCAUGGACUGGCGGUGCCGGAUGCUGCCUUGUUGGGUAACUUUUUUGGGUCGCUUACAGUUGGGCAAGUUGGGCUUCCCAAGUUUGAUUUGAGAUUACUGCAGGCAGUUAAGGAUGAGUUGCAGAGGAAAAGGUUGAAGCUGUUAGACUGUUGUGAAAGAGAAAACGACAAAAUAGUGUUUGUGAAGCCUUUAGAUCAUGAAGAGUUCCACACAGCACUUAUUGAAGCCAAAACUUCACCAGCAGUUCCUAUCCAGCAAUGCCAACGGGAGUUGCCCAGUUCACCCAGAGUGGCAGAACAUCACAACCACCUCGUCUGCAGUGGUCAACAUAACGUGUUGUUGGGCAAUGCUUGCGAAGAACCAAUUAAGUCAGUUGAUGGGAUCCCUGAUCAAGCUGUGUAACACCAUCCCCCACCCAAUGCUCAAUCACCAAACUUGGAAAAAAUAAAAAAAGAGAAACAAAACGGAAAGGCAGAAAGAAAAGGAAAGAUGAGAAGAAGAAAGAGAGACUUGGCCCGUAAAUGUGUUUGUCUGAGAUACACUGACUGAGCCUCUUCUGCUGGAAUCAAGAGCGGAAGAAAAAUGCAACGAUGUCGUAGUCGUAGCAGGAAGCAGUGUGAUGAUUGUUUAGCAUGUCGAGGGAAUGAGAUAGCAAGAGCUAACUGACGGUUCUUGUAGGAAUACUGCAAAAACUCGAGAACACAGCUGUGGUGCACAAGCACUGUGAUGUUGUAUGAGACAAGGACAAUAAGAAGGUAUUUAACGUACUAGUAGCAUAUUGGGAAUCUGUAGUUCUUCUCUUGUGUGACUGUAUUCCUUCGUUUCUGGAAUGUUAAUAUUGUAUAUUUGAAGGGAGCAAAGAGGUUCAGUGCAUCAUUGCAGAUUGCUCUUAUCAUUUCGUUUUGAGAAGGUAAGUAAAAAAGGACGCAGAUGCUCAAGAUGCGCAGGUUGGAGUUUUCAUGGCAUACACAACUGAAUAAAAGAUUAUAAUUUUGCUC